AGCGAACGCUGGCGGCGUGGAUUAGGCAUGCAUGUCGAGCGAGAACGGGGGCGAACUCCAACGUAAAGACGGCACACGGGUCGAGUAAUGCGUGGAUAACUUGCCCUCGGGACGUGGGAGUAACGGCGGGAAACUGCCGCUAAUACCGGAUGGCUUCGCGGACCGGCAUCGGGCUGCGAGUAAAUGGUGGGGGACCGAA
rnacentral:rRNA from 1 species